UCUCGACAGCGCGGGAGUCCCGGUAGCGGGGCUGAGAGUGGGCACGACACAUUGCCCUUACCGUCACACCUGAUCCGGGUCAUGCCGGCGAUAGGGAGCCAACGGCCAUGCAGC
rnacentral:ncRNA from 1 species